rnacentral:tRNA from 1 species
GCGGGUGUGGCGGAACUGGCAGACGCGCAAGACUUAGGAUCUUGUGGGCGACCGUGGGGGUUCAAGUCCCUCCACCCGCA